AAGUCGUAACAAGGUUUCCGUAGGUGAACCUGCGGAAGGAUCAUUAUCACGUAUCCACGUAUAAACCAUUGUGAACCGUUUUAUCAACCUCCAUAAGAGUUUUUCUGCAGCAGUGCGAAGGUAGAAAUACCUGAGCAGUGAAACAGAUCAACUUCUCGUGGAGCGUAUUCAACCUAUUAACCAUUUUAACCAAUCUUUAUAACUUUAUGAACUAACUUUAUUUUAUACUCUUCGGAGAUAAAAUUCAUUACGAAACAAAGAACAACUCUUAGCAACGGAUAUCUUGGUUCUC
rnacentral:misc_RNA from 1 species